rnacentral:tRNA from 1 species
GUCUUUAUAGCUUAUUUUAAAGCGCAGCGUUGAAGGUGUUGAGAAAGAAUAUUGUUCUUGAAGACA